rnacentral:lncRNA from 1 species
AAACGCCCCGGGGAUGCCCCUACGCGAGGUGCCGCCUUUCUUCGGCUCAUCGAUUCUCCCGCCUCCAGGUGGUCCUCCCCCUGACCAUAGCCCACCCCACUCCCCGAAAGCUGAUCCUAAAUACCUUCCCCGAGGCUUUCAAAUCAACCCAGCCACCGCUUCAACAGCCCGCAGUUCACGCAACAGGCGGAGCCUUAGGGCUCCAGCGACGGCGGGCUCUGGGGACCAGAGGAUGCGGGCGCCGCGGGCCAGACGCCCAGAAGGACGGAAAGUGCUCUGCGGCCGUAGACCCUCGGGGUCGUGCACCCGCGACCUGGACCACAGGAGACUGGGGCAGCAAAAGGUGGGGGAAGGCGCGGUAAAGUUGCAGGGUCGCCCGGAGAAGUCUCCGGAGCGCGCAGGGAGGUGGGGACGCCAGCCAGGUACCUGCAGGAGUCCGGACGCAUCCAGCUAGCUCCGCUCUGCGACGCCGCCUGCCCGCGCUGCAGGGAUCAGGCCUCGCGGCGCGGCCCCGCGCCUGCCGCCGCGGCGGCGAGGAGAGCGGGGUGGCCCGCGUCGGCCGGUCUGUCCGUCGGUCCCGCCCCGCUAGAGCGAGGCUCCCGGGAGCUGCGGGCGGGGCGGGGCCGGACGGGACGGGGCGGGGCCCGCCGCUCGGCCGCCGCCCCAUUGGUCGCAGCUCCGCCAGCCCCUCGCUUCGGGCCCGCAGCCGGGCGCCCCGGGCCGAGGGCGCGGGCGGCUGAGGACUGCGGGGCUCCGACCGCCAGACAGGCGGACAGACCCAUAGACCUAGAUGCUGCCCUGCCGGCCGCGCGCCCCCGCCCAGGCCCAAGUGCAGAGUCACCCCGGAGCGGCAGGCGCUGUCCGGGUGGGACCAGGAGCGCGCCCCGCGCCUCCCACCUGCGCGCCCUCCUGGGCCGGAAGCGCCGUGGCCCUGCGGGAAAAAGAUGACCUCCCCCGCGGCCCCGGCGGCUGGGGCAACCGCCUUUCUAAAGUCGCGGCCCAAGCGACACUUUGCUAAUUUGCCUGGAUUUCCUCAGGAAAUCGCGAGGCCCAAACUUGUUUUAAAACAAAGUGCGAAGGAGAGUACAUAUAGCUCCAGUUCCUGCCAAUGUUUGCCAUCGGUCCCGCUGCCUGAAGACUCAGGCACAGUGCAGAACAAGAUGCUUUGUCUUAUUCCUCCACUCACCGAGUCAGAAGAGGUGCUUGGACAUUUGCACCAAGCAGAUGCGCCUCAUAUGUAGAAGAGGAACCAGUCGGGUCCCCUUUCGGAAGGACGAAUGGAAGAGGAAGUCAGGGGACGAUGCCUUCAGCCGACGUUGAGGAACAAACCAGGACCUCGGCGAGGACAGCGUGUGGUCCAGAAGGCAUCGCUGGCCUCGCUGCACUGAGCGAGAGCGCUCAGUUAACAGCCAGGAGGAGAAAUGGGACGCUUCGGGACCCACCCCCGCGCUCCCCCUCCCGCCCCCAAACUGCAGAUUUUUAAGUUGUGCAGACGUGGAACAAUUCCUCGGAGCCAGCUGCUCCAAGCUAAGGCGCCCAGUGUUCCCUGGGUUCCUACCCGCAGCAUACGCCCUGCCAGCUGCCCCCAAGCCAGCACCCGCUGACCACUCACCUCAGGCAAGCACCUAGGAAGACGAUGCAGAUUCAAGCUCCAGACCUUGAGCCAAGCGCUGGGGAGGGAAUGGGGGCAAAGAGAUGGUGGAAAACACUUUCCUGAACUUACUGAAUACCCUAUGUUAUGUGUGGGUUUUCUAAUUGUUCUUUGCUUAAUGAAAAACCCACGUUGGAAAUCAGAAAAAGGCAGUAAUCCUCACCGUAUCUUGUGGGCUUCAAAGAGGAGGUUUUCCCCUUAAAGGGAGUUUUGGUCCAGAGGAGAGGCUAACAGCAGGCAGGAAGGGCAGAGGAAAAGAUAAAGCCUAGGGUGGUCUUCCCCCUGAGGCCUGGAGCCCACCAAGCUCCAACAGUUUCAUUUGGCUUCUGGGAAGCAAAGUACAGAUGCAUGUGUCUGCAGAGCACUGUUCUGAGCCAUUUGUCCCUAAUUCCAUGGUUCUUUGGUUCCUCCAAUCUUGUCUCCUCUCCUGUGGAAGAGGAUCCAAAGCAUUGGUCCACACUGCUAUUUACAAGUGGCUGAAGAAGGUAACUUUCUUACAUAGUUCAUCUUUAGCAUAAGCUCUAAGAUUGUUCUAAAAAUAUAUUUACAUUUUAUCAACACCUUAGAAGAAUGCUUCCAGAUCUCUCCCAGCAGUUACCUAUUUAAUCAUUUUAAAAUCACUAAGUUUAUCCAAAAAGUCCAGCAUGGUUUACUUGAGAAGGAAAUAUGUUCAGAAUCUCUAAGCACUGCAGAAGGCACCUGCAGUGCAGAAGAGUUGGCAGUGAGGUCUUUCUCCUGGGGUCUGGGCGGAACAUGUGAGCAGUCGGGAAGGCACACACAGUGGGAGCCAGUAAGGGCCCCUGUGCAUCUGCAGGAGCUGAGGACAGAAGGGGUGGGCCUCCACGGUGGGCAUGUAGGAGUGGGCACAGAGAAGGGCCACAGAUCUGAGACAGAGACAGACAGGACUUCUUACCCUGCUGAGCCCUGCAGGGAGCCACUUCGUCUUUCAGCCCUGAUUUUGUCAUCUGUAAGGAAAUUUCCUCUCUCCCAGGGUAAUCAUGUGAAGCCAAUGAAAUAAUAAAAAGGACCACAUCGGAUGACCCCUGAGGCAGGUCUGCUCCCCAAAAGUUUACUCUUGAAUGUUGACCAAGGUUGAGCUAGGCAAAGUGGUAAAUUCACACACACGGUAUGUAGCCCCUUCCCCAACCCCAGUCUCCAUUACCGGGGGCAUGCUGUGAACUAACUGCCUCCUUUUCCCCACACACCCACUUCCUGCCCAGUCUUUAUGCCUCCCGAUAUGACAUCCCGUUCCCUCUUAAUUAACUGUGCCUAUAGAGAAACAUCUAGAUAAACCAUGCAUUUAAUCUGUGAGGGGUCAAUCAUUUAAUCAUCGUUGACAAUAAUGCUCACUCCUCUGUGGUUUCAGAGGACUCCUGGAGUGGAUGGAGACACAUGCCACUAAUGUGGGAUGCAUUUCAGUCUGUCUUCCAGGCCUCGUUUGGAGGUCUCCCUCUCUUACCCACCUAUCACACAUCCAUGUCUUCCCUUCCCUCCCCAGAGCCAAACCUGUCCCCGACUUUUUAUUCUCACUAAAGUUCAAAUGACAGAAAUCAGCUAGAUUAGUACUUGCCUUAGUCCUGAAGGAAAGGGAAGUGCUCAUUAGCUUCUUAAAUUGGAACAGGUCUGCAGGUGAAAAUGAAGAUGUGCUCAUCUCUGGCAGGAAGGUUGGGAGUGAGGGGUAUAGUCAUAAUGAGCAGCGUUUAUUUGGUGUGUGCCUCUCACUUGCCACUUUCUACCCAGCUGCCUGAAUAUCACUCCAGUUAGUCUGAGCACAUGAAACACCUGCAACUCCCCAGACCCACCAUGCUUUUUCUUGACUCUCUGAAUGCACAGCAGUGCCUCCUCAGCUAAGAACACAGUUCCCCAUCACCAAGCUUUGCUUUGCCCAACAGACCCCUUCUCCCUUAGGAUGAGAUUCAGUGGAUAAUCACAUCAUAAUCACGACCCUCUGGGAAGCCGCCUCUCUCAUCCUGGGUUGUGUGUUGUGUGUUUCCUUUCCACACUCCCUCAGCAGCCUUUGCCUCCCACUUUCAUAGAAUCUACCAUAUGGGAUUUUAACUGUUUGUCUUCCACUAGACAAUAAGCUCCUUGAAGACUGAAUUUCCAGGAACUUCUGUUGGAUCUGCAUGUUUGUGAAGUGAAUUACUGAAGGCUGCCCAGUUUCAUCUGAUCCUAGUCAAAACCUAAAUCCCUUAUUUCUACGCUACCUUUUGCCAGCACCUGAAAAUGAUGCCAGGUUUCUGGAAUCCACGGCAGCAAUGGGUGAUAAGUCUCCAGCAUCUGGGUGACAGCAGACUGACUCUGCUCUCAAGUCUCAUUAAUCCACAUUGUAAGUCACACUAUGUCCCUUUGGCUCCAUUUUCUUACCUGU